AUUUAUAUAUAUAUAAUAUAUACCUGUGGUGUGCAUUCUCAGGUGAAUAUAUAUAUACCUGUGGUGUGCAGUCUCAGGUGAUGAGAGUAAUAGAGUAUUGGCCUGCUUUGGCAGCCAGUGUCGUUGAGAUUUGAUUUCUUUCUCCCUAAAGUGCUUUGAAUAGCCUUCCUUUGACUUGUUUGUGACUCGCAAUCCUUUUUCUCAGUCACAAAGGACUUGAGGCUUUCUGUAUCAAUACGCGUAAGGACCCAUAGUGUGCUAAUCAACAAAGGCCUUUAUCUCAUAGCCCAUACCGCUGUACCCCCACCAUGUCUUCAUUCUAGAACAUUCCAUCUGUCCCAUUCCAUUGUGUGUGUGUGUUCCAAAUCAUCUACAUCUCAAUGUUUUCCACACAUACUAUUAUUAUCUGUUGUGUGAUAUGUUUUGUAAAUCGGGUAAAAUAGGGAGAGUAGGGUGGGUGUGAUUUUUAAAGGGAAACAAUGUAAGGUUACUGUAUCUCUCCCAAGGCUUCAAAUGGUCUUCACGUGUUUCUUUUGUGAGGAAUCACUUUGAAUUGAUUUCAGAUUUUUUUUUUUUUUGUGAUGAUUUUGCAUCUUGCAUAAUGUGAAAAAAAAAUCAUGUUGUUUUAUAUUGGAAAUGUCUUAUCUGAUGACGUGUCUUCUGGAAAACUGAAUUCCUCUGUAGGCGAUUGGUUGGGACGAAGCAUUCCGCAUUCGAACGAGUCCCCUUUCUUCAAGUGUAGCAGGCACUAGUGUCUUAAGAUGCACGGUGCAUCGGAAAACUUUCAUGACUGACUGACUGAAUUUGCAGCCGCAGUUUUCAGUUGGUUCUGGGUCAAGCAGAUGUUGUUUUCCUCUAAAUCCCACCCUCUGUUCACCUUUAUGUCAUCGAGUACAUACCGUAUAUAUAUCUAUAUAUAUAUAUAUGAGAGAGCCUACCUCCUGUGCCUGUUCGGAGAAGAGAAAAAAAUAAAUCUAGUGCAGCAUUUGUGUUGCUCAAGCUCUUUCUUCCUAGGACCUCUCUGAUGUGUUCGAUCGAUUGGUGAUUUGUGGGGACUUAUCAGCGGAAACCUAGGCUAAUUAUAGAUGCCAUAUUAGCGUCUCUGCAGAGCGCCGGGGUUAGGGCCAGGUGACCGCGGAGGAUGUUGCAGCGGCGCACUGUCUUAGCUGGGCGAGGACCGUGAGGAUGUUGGGGCUGCCAGGUGAGCUGGGUGAGCUGUGUGAGGAUGUUGGGACAUAGGCUGCCAGGUGAGCUGGGUGAGGGCCGUGAGGAUGUUGGGGCAUAGGCUGCCAGGUCAGCUGGUUUAUUUUGAUGUCUCAGGGAUCAGUGGAGUACUCGACUGCUGGAGCCACAAGGACUUGAUUGUGUUUAAACCAACUGAGCUGCUCCCACGAGAACAGCUGCCACCGACACUUGCUCCUGUGUGUGUGUGUGUGUGUGUGUGCGCAUGCGUGUGUUUGUCUGUCUGUCUGUGUGUGUGCAUGUGUGUGUCUGUCUGUCUGUCUGUCUGUCUGUGUGUGUGUGUGUGUGUGUCUGCGUGCGUGUCUGUGUGUGUGUGUGUCUGCGUGCGUGUGUGUCUGUCUGUGUGUGUGUGUCAGCGUGCGUGUGUGUGUGUGUGUGUGUGUCUGCGUGCGUGUCUGUGUGUGUGUGCGUGCGUGUCUGUGUGUGUGUGUGUCUGCGUGCGUGUCUGUGUUUGUAUGUAUCUAUUACAUACAGUCCAUCAGCGCAAGUGUUGACUAUGUCAGGGCGUGCCGGUAUGGAUUUACAGACUGCUGGUCAGAAAAAGAAAUGUUAUUUAUAGUAUAGGACCAUGGCAGGUGACUAGAGCAGAGCUGCCCGCACUUACCUUGUCAUAACCACAUGAAUUACAUGUGACGAUUACAGAGAACAUCCCAGGUUCUCUCUCGGGGGAAACACCACUGGCGUUCCCAUAGAACGUUCUAGUCAAUCUCUACGGGUGUCACUUUAAAGAGUUGAUUUGGCCAGGUGUUACUCAGCUAGGUGUUGCUGCAGUCGCUGUAAGGCCCGUGGGUCGCCUGCCUGUCUGGAUCUGCCCUAUUUGCCCAGUUUGUGUUGUGCUUCUGGGUCCGGGGCGGGGCGGGGGGGGGGGGUGCCUGGGUCUGCGGAUGCCCUGGACAGGCUUGAAGAGGGAGGGAGUGUGUGUGUUUGUGAAUGGCAUGGACUGCUCAGAAGGCAAUAAAGAUUACCACAUUCCACUUCGCUGUGCCCGUGUGAUGUUUUGUGUCUUGAGUUUUAUAGCAGUUUUUUCCCCAAGAGGUGAA
ensembl:lncRNA